GGGUCUAUAGCUCAGUGGUAGAGCAGUUGCCUUUUAAGCAAUUGGUCGCGGGUUCAAGUCCCGCUGGACCCA
rnacentral:tRNA from 4 species